rnacentral:rRNA from 1 species
CACGGGGGGAGCAAGCGUUGUUCGGAAUCACUGGGCGUAAAGGGUGUCUAGGCGGUCAGGUAAGUGAGAUGUGAAAUGCCCCGGCUUACCCGGGGACCUGCAUCUCAUACUGCCUGGCUUGAGUAUGGGAGAGGAUGAGGGAAUUCCUGGUGUAGCGGUGAAAUGCGUAGAUAUCAGGAGGAACACCGGUGGCGAAGGCGGUUCUCUGGGCAUGACCUGACGCUGAGGAGCGAAAGUGUGGGGAGCGAACAGG